GGGACAGAGCCCCCCCUCCUGGGGGCGCUGCUGAGCCCGACACCCUGCUGGAUAUCCCUCAGGGCAUCAGGAGUCUGUUCAAUUCCUCCAGCUACUGAUUGGCUUCUCUGAGCCUGCUUUUGGCACAGAAUUAAAAGGAAAAAAAACAACAACAAGAAAAACAAAUAAGAGCUCUGUGUCUUCCUGCCUCUGCACAUCAACAGCCCUAAGUUUUGAUACAGAAGAAAGACAUCCAGGCUUCCGGGCCGGGGACUCCAGCUCGAGCCUUAAACCCAGAGGACGUCUCCAAUGACUCAUUACUGGAAUAAAUGUUGCUAAUGUGAAAGAUCUUGCAGCACCGAGUCCUGUGAAUGAAAGCCAGAAUGACUCGUCAUUCGGGAGGAGAGCUCACACUGCUCGUCUUAUUUAUGUCUGUGUAGGCAUGUAUUUGCCCAUGUUGGGCUCUGGAAAAAGCCGUGCUUCCUUACCAUUGCUCAUCCAUGUAAGGUGGACAUAGUUCUAGGAAACAGAUGAGCAAAGUCCACACUGACUCAGAAAGAGAAUGGAUUUGAAUAAAUGCUUCAGAAAAUGUCUACAUUAGUCACACACACGUAGAUAGGCAAGCUCACGGGAGGCAGGGGCCCUGCAGAAGCCCCCCUGUGGCACCCACCAGGCAGCGUCUCCAGCCCCUAGUUCAGCAUCUUAAGAAGGAGG